CAUUGCAGAUAUUUUUUUUUCUCUAUUCAAAUACAAUUAAUAAGUAGUAAAAGUAUGAUUGUAUUUAAUUCUAUAUAUUGUACAUUGCUGAUAAAAACUCUGUCUCUUAUUAUCAAUUGAUUUAAAAAUCACAUGGGUCCAAAUGACCGGACCGAAAAGAUCAGGGUUAGAUAUAAGAAGGCACCCAUUCAUAUCGUUUACAGUUAAAAGUGAAAGUAGGCUAGUUGGUUUAAAGAUACUUUUUGUUGUAGAUAUAGUUCUGUGCAGGAAGUUUUUUGUUACUAAAAGAUCAAGCAUUUGUACAUAGUCAACAUUCGAUAUGGAUUCAAAAUAAUCUGUUUUGCAGGCAGGUAUAUUUUAUAAACAAAUUGAGUACGUAGGCCUAACCAUCGCAAGUGUGUGAAGUAUUCAUCCGCUGAAACCAAGACAUAUUGUUUACAAUUAAAAGUAUGAACAUUGUCAAAGACAUCAACUAUUUUUUUUAUCUGCCAACUUCUUAUAUUGACGUACAGUUCUGUUCUAAAUGGAAGCAAGUCUUCUUUUAUUCCUCAAAUACAAAAGAAAACGUUGCACUCAUUUUCACUGAUUUAUUGAUAGCAUGCCUUGUUCAGCUCAUUACACUUCCGGUGGACGUGGACGCUUUCGAGCUUUGCUCGACGCCAUAAAAAAGCUAUAGUACUUGAUUAUUUCCAGUUCUAGAACGUUUAAAUGUGCCCCAGGGGUCAUAUCCUAUAUAUCAUUUUCUGUUUCAAGGGGACCAAGACCACCCCAAGACUCAUGACCUACAUACAGCUUGAUGCACCUUGACACAAGGAACAAGAAUAUACAGGGGAAAAGGAAGUGACAGCAGACGUUCGGAUGUGCAAAGUGCACUGCAGCUGAAGAAUAACAAUCAUCACUGAAAUUUUGAGAAACAGAGACAGAAGCUAGGCUAAGCGAAAUUACGUGGAACCCCAUGGCAUAAACAUCAAAGUAAUAAUGAAUGUACUUUCAUCUAUACAUUUGUCCACUACGAUAUGAAGAAACAUCGCCCAUUGUUUCCUCAGCCACGUUUAAUACCCGUACUUGGUCAAGAAGAGUCACCACCAGUGAGGAAGGUUCCUACGUGCCAAGACUCCCGGCUUACCUCGAUAUUUGGACAGUGACUUUAAUUCUUUUAAUCAUUUCUUUGAUUCCAAGAACAAUUGAUUAUCAGUGAACUAUAAUUGGACUGUGAUAUUAUAUCAGAACUAUUAAUCAUAUGAAAUAUUAUUAUUUUUAUUAUUUGUUGCAUAACUUUAUUAAACUUAAUUUAUUUACAUUAGUACUCUGU